CCGCUCAGUCUGUAGAGCAUGAGACUCUAAAUCUCAAGAUCGUGAGUUCGAGCCCCAGUUGGGCAGGA